CAUACAGUUUUAUAAUUCUUUAAAUAGAAAUUAUUACAUUUUAACGAAUUAAAGUAGUUAAAUGUAGAAUAAAAAAUCGAUCGAUCGAUACUUCAUCCAUGCUUAUCUCUGAUUGGCUAAUUUCAUAAAGUAUUUUUAUUAAAGUUUUCCUUUUUUAUCGAAUGUAAUUAACAAAAAAUAUCGAUUGUUUUUCUUUUAAUAUAUAAUAAAAUUAUAAUUAAUUCAUAUUCUUAAUAAUAACAUUUUCUCUAGUAAUUAAUUAUAUCGCUGUUAAUAAAACAUUUUUAAUCGAAAGCUCUUUGAUUGGUUCUCUAUUUUUGCGGGAAUUCAUUAAUGUUUGAAGAUGACAAAAAUAUGAUAAAUCACGUACAAUAAAUCGUAUAGAUAUUAUGAUUGUAUAGAUAUUAGUAUAGAUAUUAUGAUUGACAUAAUGUCACGUCGAAAAAGAAAAAAAAGUAAUAAAAAUUAGUUAACCUUGAUAGCAAUAGAAUCUGAAAAAUAUAUAAGUUCGAUCGUUAAAGAAUCCGAGUGAAAUAUUAUAAGUCGUCAUAGUAAUACGAUCACUGAAGGUUAUAGUCGGUGUAAUCGUCGCGGCAAUUUUGAAUUCCUUCCAAUUAGCAGAUAAGCUGUAUUUAUAUAAGGAAUGGUAAACAAGUUAAACGGUUUCUCAGUGAGAGAAAUUACAUAUUAUAAAAUAUGAUCUUUAGCCAAGGAGAACUUCUAUCGAUUCUUACGAUACUCAACGUACCGGUUCUUUUAUGUAAACUGAUACAACUAACGAAAUUUCUGUUUUUUUCAAUAUGAUCAUAUACAACAAAUAAAAAAAUAAUAUACUGUUCAAUCACCCAUGAAAAAAACUAAACAUAAUUAUAUUUACAGAACACUGCUUCUGAAGAAAAAACAUUUCUGUGUUUUGUGCUACAUAUACAGGUAAACAAUAACAAAUUAAAUAUACAAAAUAAUAUUCUACAUUUCUAUCAAUGAUUAAAUCUUUACUCGAACUAUUUUACAGUAGGAUGGCAUAUAUAGAUGCAGGAUUUUAUAUUCACAUUCAAUUUGUACCAGCUGAAACUAUGGUUAAGAAAAUGAAUGUGCGUUAAAUGAUAUUACUCAGGAUUCUAUCGGUUUCUCAUGAGAAACAAAGGCAAAAGAAUAAAGCUAGAUUAUGCACUGACGUAGACACUUUCUUCGACACUAUAAUCUACAUGAACAGGCAUCAACAAGUCAAGAUAGAGUUCUACGAAAUGUUACAUAGUCAGGAAUUUCAACCAUAUACCAAUAUGAGUUAUCAAUAAUUAACAGAAAAAUUCGAUUGGUUCAAUUAUUUUUUAUGCUUUAUGAUGCGUAUAUAUUUUCAUUUAAAUCGUUACUCACUAAUAAUUCCUAAUCGUUAAUCACUAAAAGAAGUAGCCUUCCCUGAUUUACAACGUUCAAUUAAAACUGUGUAAAAUUUGACCUUGGUUUACUACAUCAGCAAACUUUUAUAAUACAAAUUCGUGAUGCAUUACGUGAAAGACUUACUUCUAUGUAUAUGUAAACAAAACGUCUGUAAAAAGCACAUGAAUAAUUUGUAGAACAUUUUUUUUAAAUUUUAAUGUAAGGCACGACCCUGAUGAAAUAUUCUUAUCUUAUCUAAAAGUUAUUUUUUCUUCACAAAAAAUAAAAAUUACGAAGCAUACGACAAAAAACUUGUUUGUACAUCUGACAAUGUAUAAACAAGAACGAUAAUUAAAAAAGUACCGAAUGAAAGCUAACUUGUUGAGAAAACUUGACGCACUUCCUCCUUUUAAUUUAAUUGUUAUGUAUAAAUGGUGCUCAUUUCACGGUCGCUGCGUCAGAGGCUUCGUGAAAUGAAAACCAUAAAGCAUUGACGUUAAUUUGUUAAUUCCUCAAUAAGUGCUAGGGAGACAAAUGAAACUAUUUUCAAAAAAUUUCGAGAAAACUGAAAUAAAUGAAGCAUGGACCAUUAUCUUCAUCAUAAUCGAGGAACGAAAUCGUCGCUCAUUAGAUUAUUUCAACUAUCGCGUGUCUCGAAAUUGAUCGAGUUUAGAUAUCGUGACCAAUUUAUGAAAACUAAACGCCAGGGUCGACCAAAUGAAAAACUGGAACUUGCGCAACGACUGAUCACUAAUGACCCUUUACAAUAGUCUUUACAAGGUCAUAAAAGAAAUUUGCGUUUAAUGUAUUGUACACGCGAAACUUAGGUGUACGAACUGAUGACUAUGUGAAAUUUAAACAGCGUCCUAAUUGUUACAGUUUAUUGAUACAUGACCGAAUGAAAGAUAUUUUCCCCGGGAUCAAUAAAAAAAACUUCUUGAAUUUAUAUGACCUUCUCAUCGAAGCGUUGCCAAAAUGAUGAUUCCUUGCUCGGCGUAAUCACUGAAAAUAUAUUCAUGUAAAUAUUUUAAUGAUUUAAUAUAAAAAAGAAUAUCAUGAUAGUAAUAGAUCAUAUCUAUGUUACGUCAUUCUAGAUUGUUAUAAACGUACCACUCUUUAUUAUUGCAUUAUGUCAAUCAUAUUCAGUCCCCCCAUGUGAGCAAAUAGAUUUUCAUACGCACGCUUAUAUAAUGAUUAGAACAAAGUUUCGUGCAGGGUUCCCAAGUGGGGAAGCCACUGAGUAGCGGAUUUCCUCCAAGCAUGGGGCGAUACUGAUAAUCGACAAUGUGCAAUAGGCGUACAUUGAUGAGCAUAUGACCUUAGAAAGCUAUAUAUUCAAUGGUGAAAAACAAGAGUUACUCUUACAUACAUGAUAUCAAUAUCUACAAAAAACGAAUUCGGCAAAUUUAUCUAAUGUGAAUAAAAGCAUAAUGGUAUAUUUUAAUGCUUAUUUUAAGUAAGUACGUAAAUACAUUACAAUUAUUGCAUUUAGACACCUCCGCAUUUUUUGGAUGUCCGCAUUACGGUAUAAUCCUUCAUUGAUUGCUUAGAUCGUAGAAGCAUUCUCUUUAAAUACAUUUAAAUAUGCUUGUACAAUAUACAAUAAUGCGAAAAUGUUUCUAUUGUGCAUGUAAUUGCAUUUUGUAUAUUGCUAUUGUUUCCUAAAUUAUUAUAAAUAAUUAUCAUUAAGAUAAUAGAAACUAAAUUUCUUUAUAUAUGUUGGAAAACAUAAACUACAGUUUAAUUUAAUAGACGAUGUAUACAAAGAUGUUUCUGCUAUAAUUCCUAAAAAAAAUACAAAACAUAUAAGUAACUUUAAGAGGUAUUUAAAUGUACAAGAUAUUAUACAAUCAUUGUCACAAUCUGAUACAGCCAACUCUUUAACCAAAGUAAUAGGAAAGAAUUUUUACAUAUUUCUAUCGGUUUCUUGAUUCAAUUUUAGAAAAUUUUAUCAGUGUUUAAUAUCUUACUUUGAUUUCUUCUAAUUUUUUAAAGAAGUACUAAAGAGUUUAUUAUUGUAUUAUGAUGUACUAUUAAUUGUAUGCUAUUUUAAUUAUACACUCGUAGACGAGUUUAUAUGAUUUUAAAAUUGUAUAGACAUAAAUGAAGAGUUACUUUUUAAACCUAGAAAAAUUGAUAUAAAAAAGACACCUUUUAAUAUUUUAAAAAGAAUGUCCUAAAUAAAUUUUCCUGGAAACAUUUAAUUCGCCUAAAUACCAUAAGUUUAAUACAUUUGACAAUUGUAAUAUAAGAGAGAUAUAAGAUUUUUUGUUUUGAAUUUAUAAAAUAAAUAACAAAUCUAUUAAAGAACUUUCUAUCUUUUUCACAGUAUCAGAAACUUUAAUAACCUGUUUUCAAAGAAUACUUUAUACUAUCUUAUACUAUCUUAUUUUUCACUUGCAUUUUACUAUACAAAUAAGAAAAUAAAAUUAAUUAAGGAUCAUUGCAUACUACUGACUGUAGAUACAUGUCACAAAUAAAACUGAAUUGUUCAGUUUUGAGCAUAUCUGAUUUUAUUUUAAAGAACAUUCAACUUAUUGUUAAUAUAUAAAAAAAAGGAACAGAAAAAUUUUAUAAA